rnacentral:rRNA from 1 species
GUAGGUGGCAAGCGUUGUCCGGAAUUAUUGGGCGUAAAGCGCGCGCAGGCGGUCCUUUAAGUCUGAUGUGAAAGCCUACGGCUCAACCGUGGAGGGUCAUUGGAAACUGGAGAACUUGAGUACAGAAGAGGAAAGCGGAAUUCCACGUGUAGCGGUGAAAUGCGUAGAGAUGUGGAGGAACACCAGUGGCGAAGGCGGCUUUCUGGUCUGUAACUGACGCUGAGGCGCGAAAGCGUGGGGAGCAAACAGGAUUAGAUACCCUGGUAGUCCACGCCGUAAACGAUGAGUGCUAAGUGUUAGGGGGGUUUUCCGCCCCCCUUAGUGCUGCAGCUAACGCAUUAAGCACUCCGCCUGGGAGUACGGCCGCAAGGCUG